rnacentral:lncRNA from 1 species
UGGAUUCGGUUUGAAGUUGCCAUGUGAAACUUGUCAGAAUCAACUUGAAAGGAGUUGGCGUCUUCCGCUGAUGGAAUUGGCCAGGAUCCGACUGUUUUCCCAAACUUCUUGACUCUGCUCCAAAUCGGAACUAGGCAACUUGCUUCUUGUCGAGUAUAUUUAUUUUGAAGAUGAGGUCCUUCAAGCUUGCCUGAUGAUCUCGACGAUGAUCCCUACCUGGCGCGUCAGCUGUCGGUGUUUUAUACUCCGCAACCAAUCAAGGGAGUACCCGAGGUAGUUGAUUUGUCGGUGGGGGAUUGCCAGACCUGGAACUCGAAGGUAAAAGUAAAGACACAAGACACAGAUUUAUACAGAUUUGGGUCGUCGGAGUAGCAUAAUACCCUACGUGCUGUUUGGGGUGUUGUGUAUUGCGCCCUGCGCUUGGGUGUUGAGUAGCCUAGUUGUUGGCUAUUGAUCAUGGUUCUGCCGAUCUAGGUACCCUCAUCCUCCUUUAUAUACUCCAGGGGGCGGGAUAACUAGUCAGUUACAAGGAGGAGUCCUAGUAGGAUUACAUGGGAUGAGUCCUAGUAAGAUUACAAGGGAAUCCUAGUAGGAGUCCGACUUCUUCCUUCUUUUCGGGUAUUGGGGAUCUAUCCCCGACAUCGGCCACAUGUCAUCUUCAGAUGGUACUCUUCUUUCCUGCCUCCCUCCCUCUCACUCCUCCAUUACUGUCGGUAACGAUCACACCCUUCCCGUCACGUGCCGUGGCAACUCCACCCUCACCACCCCCAC